UACGUAGGGGGCAAGCGUUGUCCGGAUUUAUUGGGCGUAAAGCGUCCGCAGGUGGCACUUCAAGUCUGCUGUCAAAGACCGGGGCUUAACCCUGGAAAGGCAGUGGAAACUGAAGCGCUAGAGUGUGGCAGGGGUAGAGGGAAGUUCCCGGUGUAGCGGUGAAAUGCGCAGAUAUCGGGAGGAACACCGGUGGCGAAGGCGGUUCUCUGGGCCUUACCUGACGCUGAGGAGCGAAAGCGUGGGGAGCGAACAGG
rnacentral:rRNA from 1 species